UGUGGAUCAAGGCUGGAGGAUGACAAGCUCCUGACUGAUAGAUACAUGGAGACUUCGCUGGUGAUUUAUUGGCUUUCUGCACCUGACGAGAACCACUAGGCCUAUCUGAGGAGGGAAAUAUAUGGGCUUUCCUGACUCCAAGUGGCAGCCCCGGGGCGAGCAUGUGAUGUCAAGCUGGGCAGAGGAAAGCGGAGCUGUGCACCGGCCUGUGUACUGUAAGCCGGCCCGGGUCGUAAAAGUGUCAGCACGCGAUAUAUUUCUUGCAGGGGAUCCUCUCUGGCUCUUGCCAGCGCCUCUCCCCCGUGGCUGGCAGCCGCCCUAGCCGGGCCUGCAAACAGCGGAUGCCCCAGGUCGCUAUCCCUCCGCCCUGCCCCGGAGCGCCGGGCCCUCACGUUCUCGCUCCAGCCUGGGGUCUCUCACGUGGCAUCUGGCCCUGGGGACGGUGCAGCGGAGGAGUUAAUUGCUGUCACUCCUGACUUCAGCGAAAGAGGUCGAUCGUGGGGUGAGAUAUUGAAGCUGGGGAUUGACCUGUGGACCAAGAGUUUGAUGGGGCAACUCAAUAGCAAACUCAAUGUUCCCAGAGAUGAACCAAGUAAUCAGUUAUUUAUUCAGAAAAUUAAGUGCCAUUCGUGUGCCAGGCACUGCGCCCCCUACCCGCAGGCCUCACCUUGGCCACCGGCCUGAGUUGUUCUCAUUUCUCCUCCCUCUACCUCCAGGCUUCUUCCUCGGGGUUAGCAGGGGCCUGGAGUGGAUGUUUAGUCUACCGGUCAGACUCCAGGUCUUAUAUCUUGAAACUGUAAGUCCCUGAAUUCACAGACAAUUCAGAGUAAGGAUGGAGGCAAAGAAGAGGACCUUGGGUUUACUGUUCACGAGAUGACCUCAUAAAGGUGUUCAGUGAUGAAGAGGAGUGGCUGAAGAGAGCUUCAGCAAGCAACCACUAGGAUAAUGUUAAAGAUCUUCAGUGGUAAGAAGACAAGGAGCAAAGAUUUUUAUCUUACUUUGUGAUUUUCAUAAUUAAAAAAGAAAGAAAGGAAAGAGACGAGGUCUUGCCACAUUGCUCAGGCUGGUCUUGAACUCCUGGACUCAAGCAAUUCUUCCACUGUAGCCUCCUGAGGUGGCAGGAUUACAGCAUAAGCCACCAUGCCUGGCCUCAGUCACACUUUGGAAAAGAAGACUAUGGAUCUACAUGUUCAUUUUGUGGUCGAAUUAUAACCAACACGCCACUCUAUCUGCCUCCACUCUGCUUUUUCCAUGCCUGUACUUAAAUGCUUCUCAGAAUUUUUAAUGUACUUCCCUGCCUUUUGCCAUAGAUUUUAUACUCACUGAGAACCAAUGUUCUGCCAUAUUCAUCUCUUUAUCUUUCACACUCACACCUAGUGCCUUACAAGUUGCUUUUAGCCAAAGUCACAGGAAACCUGACUCACAUGGAUGUCAAGGG
rnacentral:lncRNA from 1 species